rnacentral:rRNA from 1 species
UGCGUUUGGUACUGGCAAGCUAGAGUGUGGCAGAGGGUAGUGGAAUUCCUGGUGUAGCAGUGAAAUGCGUAGAGAUCAGGAGGAACAUCCGUGGCGAAGGCGACUGCCUGGGCCAACACUGACACUGAGGCACGAAAGCGUGGGGAGCAAACAG